GGAGCCUUCAUGUCGCCACCAUAGAAAUGGCGAGUGGAUGAUCUGCGGUGCUUUUCGUGAAAAAAUGCUAAAGCCGUGAAUUGCCGUCCAGUGUAACCGUUUUGUGGACUAAAGCUUUCAUAUAUAGUGAAGAAUUUAUAUAGGUAUGUCACCUUUCACAUCCAGCGGGAGUUGGUGGUUGGAUAUCAAACAGCAGUUAGUCCACAGCUGGCUGGCCAAGCCUGAAAGGCUCACUGGAAUGGAGACCAGACAUGUUGUGUGAUGGAUUUCUUUGGCAGUUACAUUGAUAUGGCUGCAGGAGGAGUCCCUCUCUGGAGAUGCAGGAGCAUAGAAUGGGUGCGACCUACCUUCAAUGAAGAAAUAAAUGCCAGCAGGGAAGCCCAGACCUCCCUCUCGCCAGCCAGCUCCGCCGGGGGGAAUCCCAAGGUGUUCCCAGGCCAGCCGAGAGAUAUGACCUGUCCAGCGUGUGCUGUUCCGGGGCCUACGACAGGAGGCCGCCCACACCAGCUAUGUUACUGUAAAGUGUGUUACAGUAACACUUUUACCUCGCUGGUGUUUCCGUCCACACCAGCUAUGUUACUAUAAAGUGUGUUACAGUAACACUUUUACCUCGCUGGUGUGUUUGUCUAUGGGAGUGCACCCCAAGGCCCUUGCCAUCCUGCAGUGUCUCGACUCGUUAUUUGUUAUUCGUAUUUUAUUACACUACAGUGGGAUAAUUGUUAAAUGUGGAUAAAAAAUAAAUAAAAAAAAAAGGUAAAAUGAAAUCAUAAAAAAAGGGGUGGGGAGAACCCAUGGGACCUUUUUUGGACCAGCACUGGAUGACGUUGUGUACCGUAAAUUGGAUCUAAUGUGUAAUGUUUCCGUUUCGUACAAACCAGGUGACAGUAUCAAGUAAAAUGGAUUUUUUUUUUUUAAAGUGCCUUUGUAUUCUGCCUGCUGCUUAUAUUUUAUUUUAAAUAUGACCCAUAAAAUUAUGCCUGAUGACA